UACGUAGGGUGCAAGCGUUGUCCGGAAUUAUUGGGCGUAAAGAGCUCGUAGGCGGUUUGUCGCGUCGGCUGUGAAAACCCGGGACUCAACCCCGGGCCUGCAGUCGAUACGGGCAAACUAGAGUGCGGUAGGGGAGACUGGAAUUCCUGGUGUAGCGGUGAAAUGCGCAGAUAUCAGGAGGAACACCGGUGGCGAAGGCGGGUCUCUGGGCCGUAACUGACGCUGAGGAGCGAAAGCGUGGGGAGCGAACAGG
rnacentral:rRNA from 1 species